UACAGAGGUCUCAAGCGUUGUUCGGAUUCAUUGGGCGUAAAGCGCACGUAGGCGGAUAUUUAAGUCAGAGGUGAAAUCCCGGGGCUCAACCCCGGAACUGCCUUUGAUACUGGGUAUCUGGAGGUCGAGAGAGGCGAGUGGAAUUCCGAGUGUAGAGGUGAAAUUCGUAGAUAUUCGGAGGAACACCAGUGGCGAAGGCGGCUCGCUGGCUCGAUACUGACGCUGAGGUGCGAAAGCGUGGGGAGCAAACAGG
rnacentral:rRNA from 1 species